rnacentral:rRNA from 1 species
AUGAACGCUGGCGGCGUGCCUAAUACAUGCAAGUCGAGCGAACAGACGAGGAGCUUGCUCCUCUGACGUUAGCGGCGGACGGGUGAGUAACACGUGGAUAACCUACCUAUAAGACUGGGGUAACUUCGGGAAACCGGAGCUAAUACCGGAUAAUAUAUUGAACCGCAUGGUUCAAUAGUGAAAGACGGUUUUGCUGUCACUUAUAGAUGGAUCCGCGCCGCAUUAGCUAGUUGGUAAGGUAACGGCUUACCAAGGCAACGAUGCGUAGCCGACCUGAGAGGGUGAUCGGCCACACUGGAACUGAGACACGGUCCAGACUCCUACGGGAGGCAGCAGUAGGGAAUCUUCCGCAAUGGGCGAAAGCUUGACGGAGCAACGCCGCGUGAGUGAUGAAGGUCUUCGGAUCGUAAAACUCUGUUAUUAGGGAAGAACAAAUGUGUAAGUAACUAUGCACGUCUUGACGGUACCUAAUCAGAAAGCCACGGCUAACUACGUG